AGAGAAGAAAAUUGUCUUUCUACAGCCAUGGCAACAAGGUCUGUCACAAUAACAAAUUUUGCUAGAGGUUAAAUUGUCCCAGUAAUUAUUGCAUUAAACAAUUAUCAUGUUUUUUGACACCAUUUUCUUUAUUUAUUGGUCUUGGAGACCAAUAAACUCUUCGUAGAGCUCACUUAACACUUAAUUGGAAGAUAUUUUGUGAGAGGCUGAAUUUCGGGUUUCAGUUGAAAUUUGUUAAAAAUCAGUUAAAAGUUGGGCCAGGUAGAUUUACCCAAACGGUUGGGUAAAAGACGAAACUUAGAAGAAGCCACGCCCCUCUUCACAAGCCUCAUUUUUCAACACGAACGCUGCAUAUCGGACUUCUCCUCUACUUUGAAAUAAGACAUGGAUCUUCAGGAGAAUUGAGCAAAACCCAAACUCAUUGUUCUCAACAAAGACCUUCUGUAUGGCCAAGAACAUGAGUCUGCUCCCUCAAGGUAUUGAAGCUCAGAAGAAAUGUUCUCUAAAAUGUUUUCAUGCUUUUUAGUUACUGCAACAUUUUAACACAAGCUUAUGUUUGAUACAGAAGGUGAUGUAGUCCUGCAGCUGCUGCCAGUUCUCCUCCCUGCUCCACCUUACUAAUUUGGGAGAAGAGUUUCAGACCCAUCAACCUGGAAGUUCAGAAGGCUUCAUUGAUAUCCAGCCUGUAAGUCAACAUUCAUCUCUGAAUCAUGCUCAAAUUGUUUGCUGUUUAUAUAAGUGCAUCACUAAUGGCCUGUUUUUUCUGUCUUCUCUCUCCAUCAGGUUGGGACAAACCUGGUGGUGCAUCUACAAAAUGUGACAACCCGUAUGUCCUCAUGCAGGGAGACAGGCAAAAUGCUAAAGUGUCGUUAAAAAUGCUCCUUGUUUAAUGGCUGAAAGGUUUACUUGUAGUUUGCUUUAAAACAGACUUUUUUUCAUUAAAUGUUUUCUAAUGUGGAGUAACAGAUACUUCUGGAGUUGUAGCCAAAUGAAUUGAAGUGAUUUAACUACUUAUGUUUUGUAACUUUUGUAAAUGAAAUCUGCUGGCUAUGUAUAUGUAUCACGUGGAAAUAAAAGAAUCUUUAAAUUCAUAUGGUUUUUAA